rnacentral:rRNA from 1 species
AUGAGGACCAAGGAGGAGUACAUUGCAGAGUUAAGCUUUCAUUUGGGGACGGCACAACAGACAGGAUACGGCAGCAGCCAGGCCGGAUCGGUUAUGAACCGCAGAGUCCGUGUGGUCGAGCAGCAGCGCAGUGUUCCAGCCGUAGGCCAAGCCAUCAGGGUUAAUCAAGCAGGCUCUUCCGUCGCCGCGCUACGUGUUCUUGUGUUCUUGGGUGCUGCCAUACUCUUUGUGGGUGUCCUUAUUUUCUUGGCGUUGCUGAAAGUAGCGUCACUCCUUAGCAGGUAG